UUUUCUAGAGAUAGGAAUUCCCUUCGGGGCUUUUCUGCAAGGUGCUGCAUGGUUGUCGUCAGCUCGUGCCGUGAGGUGUCGGGUUAAGUCCCAUAACGAGCGCAACCCUUAUCGUUAGUUGCCAUCUGGUAAAGCAGGGGACUCUAGCGAAACUGCCACCGUAAGGUGAGAGGAAGGUGGGGAUGACGUCAAAUCAGCACGACCCUUAUGUCCAGGGCUACACACGUGUUACAAUGGCCGGUACAGAGGGCAGCUACCUGGUGACAGGAUGCUAAUCUCGAAAACCGGUCUCAGUUCGGAUCGAAGUCUGCAACUCGACUUCGUGAAGCUGGAUUCGCUAGUAAUCGCGCAUCAGCCAUGGCCGCGGUCGAAUACGUUCCCGGGCCUU
rnacentral:rRNA from 1 species